CAGGAAGUUAAUCUUUCUUACACAACAAAAAGUGGCAAGGAAUUACACAUGUACUGAACAGAUUGACAAAUGGAGAGACAAGUGACUAGUCUCGUCGUCUCGUUGACGUUCUUGCUUUACGCAAGCUCAGAUCCUUGUGCAGAUGGGUGGGUUGGACCUGAUUGCAGUUAUCAGUGCCAUUGUGCUGACAAUUUAUGCAAUCCUAGUGGUAGCUGCUU